AAAAAAUUAUGACCAAUUUAAAUUUCUAAGCCCACUAAAAUUAUAAUAGCACAAAAAGGAUAGAAGGGUCAUUAUAUUCAAGUUUAAAUAUCGAUUAUGAAAGCCUUGGACAUUGAAAGAAGAAAGAGAUUAGUUGAAAAAAGAAUUUGUGUGUGGAUUAGGGGGUAAGACUAUUGACUCAAGGAAAAUUGGAAGAGUACAUGGAGCGAGG
rnacentral:lncRNA from 1 species